rnacentral:rRNA from 1 species
UACGUAGGGUGCGAGCGUUAAUCGGAAUUACUGGGCGGAAAGCGUGCGCAGGCGGCUUUGCAAGACAGAUGUGAAAUCCCCGGGCUCAACCUGGGAACUGCAUUUGUGACUGCAAGGCUAGAGUACGGUAGAGGGGGAUGGAAUUCCGCGUGUAGCAGUGAAAUGCGUAGAUAUGCGGAGGAACACCGAUGGCGAAGGCAAUCCCCUGGACCUGUACUGACGCUCAUGCACGAAAGCGUGGGGAGCAAACAGG